UACGUAGGGAGCGAGCGUUGUCCGGAAUCAUUGGGCGUAAAGAGCGCGUAGGUGGAUCAAUUAGUCUGCUGUGAAAGUCAAAGGCUCAACCUUUGAAAGCCGGUGGAUACUGUUGAUCUAGAGUACGGAAGAGGCGAGUGGAAUUCCUGGUGUAGCGGUGGAAUGCGCAGAUAUCAGGAGGAACACCAAUAGCGAAGGCAGCUCGCUGGGACGUUACUGACACUGAGGCGCGAAAGCGUGGGGGAGCAAACAGG
rnacentral:rRNA from 1 species